GAUGAAGAACGUAGCGAAAUGCGAUACGUAAUGUGAAUUGCAGAAUUCAGUGAAUCAUCGAGUCUUUGAACGCACAUUGCGCCCCCUGGUAUUCCGGGGGGCAUGCCUGUCCGAGCGUCAUUGCUGCCCUCAAGCACGGCUUGUGUGUUGGGCCUCCGUCCUCCUCCCGGGGGACGAGCCCGAAAGGCAGCGGCGGCACCGCGUCCGGUCCUCGAGCGUAUGGGGCUUCGUCACCCGCUCUUGUAGGCCCGGCCGGCGCUUGCCGACACAUCAAUCUUUUUUCCAGGUUGACCUCGGAUCAGGUAGGGAUACCCGCUGAACUUAAGCAUAUCAAUAAGCGGAGGA
rnacentral:misc_RNA from 1 species